rnacentral:lncRNA from 1 species
UUUGGUGUGAAGAGGGUUAUCUAUAUCCAUCCCCAUUUAAUCUAGGCAGUCCAUCGUAUUUAAUCUGGACUGUCCAAUCGCGAUUAAAUAGGGAGUGAAUCUUGACCGUCCAUCGCGAUCUAAUCUGGACCGUCUGAUCGCGUUUAAAUAUGAAGUAUAUCUAGACCGUUGAUCGCAUUUAAAUCUGGCCGUCCGAUCACAUUGGGAGAGGGAACGCAUCCAGGCUGUCCAUGCGCACAGAAACGGAUCUGGAUCGUUUGAUCGCGAACACGCAGAUUGCCCACGUGGCCUCCCGUGUGGUACCGUGUCAGUGUCCGUUACCACGCGGUGUGUUCUAGUUCGCCGAGGCUACUGACCAGACAUCCUAGAUGGCAUAAGUUUUUUAAAUUGUAUUU